ensembl:snRNA U6 U6 spliceosomal RNA
AAGCUCAUUUUCACAGCACAUAUGCUGAAACUGGAAUGAUACAGGGAAGAUCAGUGUGGUUACUGCACAAGGAUGGCAUGCAAAUUCAUGAAGAGUUUCAUCUUUUU